GACGAACGCUGGCGGCGUGCUUAACACAUGCAAGUCGAACGGAAAGGCCUGCUUUCCCUUUUGGAUUUCGUGUACUCGAGUGGCGAACGGGUGAGUAACACGUGAGUGAUCUGCCCCCAACUUGGUUAUAAGCCUGGGAAACUGUGUCUAAUUCUCGAUAGGACUGCAUGGUUGUGCCUUGGGUGGAAAACGAUUUUCUAGUGGUUGGUGAUGCGCUCGCGGCCUAUCUGCUUGUUGGGGGGGUAAUGUCCUACCAAGGCGGCGACGGGUAGCCGGCCGGGGAGCGUGCACGGCCAAAUUGGGACUGGGACCCGGCCCAGACUGCUACGGGAGGCAGCAGUGGGGCCUAUUGGAGAAUGGGCGGAAGCCUGAUGCAGCGACGCAGUGUGGGGGAUGACGGCAUUCGGGUUGUAAACUACUUUCGAACGCGAGGAAGCCACCUGGCUGGAAGGGUGGUGACGGUAGUGGUAGAAGAAGCCCCGGCUAACUACGUG
rnacentral:rRNA from 1 species